rnacentral:rRNA from 1 species
GAUGAACGCUGGCGGCGUGCCUAACACAUGCAAGUCGAACGGAGAUUACGGACGGAAGUUUUCGGAUGGAAGCCUGUAAUUCUUAGUGGCGGACGGGUGAGUAACGCGUGGGCAACCUGCCCUAUACAGGGGGAUAGCAGCUGGAAACGGCUGGUAAGACCGCAUAAGUCGGUUAAAUCGCAUGAUUUGAUCGGGAAAUGAGCAAUCAGGUAUAGGAUGGGCCCGCGUCCGAUUAGCCAGUUGGCAGGGUAAAAGCCUACCAAAGCGACGAUCGGUAGCCGGACUGAGAGGUCGGGCGGCCACAUUGGGACUGAGACACGGCCCAAACUCCUACGGGAGGCAGCAGUGGGGGAUAUUGCACAAUGGAGGAAACUCUGAUGCAGCGACGCCGCAUGAGUGAAGAAGUAUUUCGGUAUGUAAAGCUCUAUCAGCAGGGAAGAUGAUGACGGUACCUGACGAAGAAGCCCCGGCUAACUACGUG